rnacentral:rRNA from 1 species
GCUUAGGCGUGUGACUGCGUACCUUUUGUAUAAUGGGUCAGCGACUUAUAUUCUGUAGCAAGGUUAACCGAAUAGGGGAGCCGAAGGGAAACCGAGUCUUAACUGGGCGUUAAGUUGCAGGGUAUAGACCCGAAACCCGGUGAUCUAGCCAUGGGCAGGUUGAAGGUUGGGUAACACUAACUGGAGGACCGAACCGACUAAUGUUGAAAAAUUAGCGGAUGACUUGUGGCUGGGGGUGAAAGGCCAAUCAAACCGGGAGAUAGCUGGUUCUCCCCGAAAGCUAUUUAGGUAGCGCCUCGUGAAUUCAUCUCCGGGGGUAGAGCACUGUUUCGGCAAGGGGGUCAUCCCGACUUACCAACCCGAUGCAAACUGCGAAUACCGGAGAAUGUUAUCACGGGAGACACACGGCGGGUGCUAACGUCCGUCGUGAAGAGGGAAACAACCCAGACCGCCAGCUAAGGUCCCAAAGUCAUGGUUAAGUGGGAAACGAUGUGGGAAGGCCCAGACAGCCAGGAUGUUGGCUUAGAAGCAGCCAUCAUUUAAAGAAAGCGUAAUAGCUCACUGGUCGAGUCGGCCUGCGCGGAAGAUGUAACGGGGCUAAACCAUGCACCGAAGCUGCGGCAGCGACGCUGAUGCGUUGUUGGGUAGGGGAGCGUUCUGUAAGCCUGCGAAGGUGUGCUGUGAGGCAUGCUGGAGGUAUCAGAAGUGCGAAUGCUGACAUAAGUAACGAUAAAGCGGGUGAAAAGCCCGCUCGCCGGAAGACCAAGGGUUCCUGUCCAACGUUAAUCGGGGCAGGGUGAGUCGACCCCUAAGGCGAGGCCGAAAGGCGUAGUCGAUGGGAAACAGGUUAAUAUUCCUGUACUUGGUGUUACUGCGAAGGGGGGACGGAGAAGGCUAUGUUGGCCGGGCGACGGUUGUCCCGGUUUAAGCGUGUAGGCUGGUUUUCCAGGCAAAUCCGGAAAAUCAAGGCUGAGGCGUGAUGACGAGGCACUACGGUGCUGAAGCAACAAAUGCCCUGCUUCCAGGAAAAGCCUCUAAGCAUCAGGUAACAUCAAAUCGUACCCCAAACCGACACAGGUGGUCAGGUAGAGAAUACCAAGGCGCUUGAGAGAACUCGGGUGAAGGAACUAGGCAAAAUGGUGCCGUAACUUCGGGAGAAGGCACGCUGAUAUGUAGGUGAAGUCCCUUGCGGAUGGAGCUGAAAUCAGUCGAAGAUACCAGCUGGCUGCAACUGUUUAUUAAAAACACAGCACUGUGCAAACACGAAAGUGGACGUAUACGGUGUGACGCCUGCCCGGUGCCGGAAGGUUAAUUGAUGGGGUCAGCGCAAGCGAAGCUCUUGAUCGAAGCCCCGGUAAACGGCGGCCGUAACUAUAACGGUCCUAAGGUAGCGAAAUUCCUUGUCGGGUAAGUUCCGACCUGCACGAAUGGCGUAAUGAUGGCCAGGCUGUCUCCACCCGAGACUCAGUGAAAUUGAACUCGCUGUGAAGAUGCAGUGUACCCGCGGCAAGACGGAAAGACCCCGUGAACCUUUACUAUAGCUUGACACUGAACAUUGAGCCUUGAUGUGUAGGAUAGGUGGGAGGCUUUGAAGUGUGGACGCCAGUCUGCAUGGAGCCGACCUUGAAAUACCACCCUUUAAUGUUUGAUGUUCUAACGUGGACCCGUGAUCCGGGUUGCGGACAGUGUCUGGUGGGUAGUUUGACUGGGGCGGUCUCCUCCUAAAGAGUAACGGAGGAGCACGAAGGUUGGCUAAUCCUGGUCGGACAUCAGGAGGUUAGUGCAAUGGCAUAAGCCAGCUUGACUGCGAGCGUGACGGCGCGAGCAGGUGCGAAAGCAGGUCAUAGUGAUCCGGUGGUUCUGAAUGGAAGGGCCAUCGCUCAACGGAUAAAAGGUACUCCGGGGAUAACAGGCUGAUACCGCCCAAGAGUUCAUAUCGACGGCGGUGUUUGGCACCUCGAUGUCGGCUCAUCACAUCCUGGGGCUGAAGUAGGUCCCAAGGGUAUGGCUGUUCGCCAUUUAAAGUGGUACGCGAGCUGGGUUUAGAACGUCGUGAGACAGUUCGGUCCCUAUCUGCCGUGGGCGCUGGAGAACUGAGGGGGGCUGCUCCUAGUACGAGAGGACCGGAGUGGACGCAUCACUGGUGUUCGGGUUGUCAUGCCAAUGGCACUGCCCGGUAGCUAAAUGCGGAAGAGAUAAGUGCUGAAAGCAUCUAAGCACGAAACUUGCCCCGAGAUGAGUUCUCCCUGACUCCUUGAGAGUCCUGAAGGAACGUUGAAGACGACGACGUUGAUAGGCCGGGUGUGUAAGCGCAGCGAUGCGUUGAGCUAACCGGUACUAAUGAACCGUGAGGCUUAACCUUACAACGCCGAAGCUGUU